GUGAUCUGUUCGUAAAAUUAACCAGUUACUCAAAUCCAACCAGUGGGGAAAAGAAAAGCGAAACCUGUAACUUCUAACACACGGCGAGCAGUUUUAUGGUGAUGACAUUUUCCUCCUAUUUACAAAAUGAGUGAUGUCGUUCGAGGCUUCGUGAUUGUAAUACAGCCUUCUCCUUUUGGUAAAUGUCACCGUCUUUCAAGUUUCAUGCCCCCUGGUUCUAACACCUUACUGUCAAGAGUGAUGUCUUCAAGCUGAAGCUAAGAUAACCUUGGUUAUUAUCUUUGCAGGCAUCACUUCAUACCAGAAGGGGUAAACUGUGUAAAUGGGUUUAACACCCACAAGCACUGCGAUCUUGCAGAUGGUGAGACCCUAAGAUUGUGUUGUAGUGCAGUGUGAGGGGGAACGUUACAUUAAAGAGUAAAAUGAAAGAGAAUGACUCGUGUUGUGAGCUCCAGUCCAUUUUUCUGUGUGCUGGCUGUGAUCAGCUGGAUUCAACAAGGUGAAACAAAUUUUCUGUGAGAUUUAUGCACGACAGAAGCUGUAGAGCCAGAGUGAGUGUCAGCAUCUUUACCAUAAAUACAAAUUCAACUCUUGAUGUAAUCUAGUAACCGACUUAUUAUAGUUUGUGUUUUCAGUUUUUAGUUCACAGCCUUGAUUUUCUUCUUUCUAUUUGAGUUUUUAUUGCUUGAAAAUGUUUUUGUUUUAAUCCCGUUUCUGUUUGUUUCUCUGUUUAAGUCUAAUUAGUUUAAUUAUUAUUACUGCAUGCAGGCCGAUGUCAGAGGCAACAAUUUCAGUACAGGUGUUACAAUAAAAACAACUUGUUAGAGCAGCUGAGUCUAAAUGAAAAUGUCCUUCAACGCCUUUUACCAGACUAAUAGAUACUAAACUAAGAAUAUUUUUCCUCUUUAAUUUAAUUUUAGUUUUCCAAGUUUACAAAAUCAUUUCAGUUUCUUUUGCAAGACUUUUCCCAAAAACAUCAUGAGGAUCUCUCCAACCCCGGGCCCGGUCCCUGAAUCGUUUGCUACCGGGUGGCGAGAGUUCAGGCUCUGGUUUGAAAUUCGUGGUUUUCAGGGUUUUUAGCAUUUUUUUUAUCGUUAACUCGGCUUCCUCAGGUCUUUUCCUGUGUGUUAUGAAUUAAUCUUCUUUUUUUUUUGGUUCUGGUUUUAUUUAUCCGCGACACCUUAAAGGCCGGUCCAUGAAAAUAUUGUCGGACAAAAACCGGUCCGCUGCUCUACAGUGAAUUAGGACGUUACAUGCAAGAUAUAAGUUUGCAGCAUAAAGACUUUCACUUGUUGAGCAGUGCCGGUCUUUGAACACGAGCUCCUCCGCUCAUUCUCAGUGUUGCACUCGAAUGUUUCCUGGGUGAUGCAACAUUUCACUCACAAACACAUUUAGUGACAAACUGCAGGAAACAGUUUGUGUGUUGGGUGAUAUGUUAAUGUUCACUCCUCUGUUGCAGCGUGAUACCUCAAUAACCUGACCUUUACGUCUGCACCGUGCAUGCAUCACAGGGACGAGGAGGAAAGUAAGCAGGCUGUGGCAUAUCUCUGACAGCAGUUGUUGUUGAUAUGAGAUGCAAGUUGUCCUGUUGUAAAGCCUUAAUGGACCAAUCAGCAUGCAUCAGCAGAAGCCUACCUGAGCUGAGGAAAGCGAGGAGGAUCAUCAAGGACUCCAGUCACCCCAGCCAUAAACUGUUCAGACUGCUUCCAUCAGGAAGGAGGUUCUGCAGCAUCCGGUCCCGUACCAGCAGACUGAGAGACAGCUUCUUCCAUCAGGCCAUCAGACUGCUGAACACGUCAUAGACACCUCAGCUUCACUACUGGAACAUUAUGCACUCCAUACUGUAUAUAAAUGCCACUUGUUUUGCACAUAUUCAACUCUGUAUAUUUUAUAUAUUUUAUUAUUAUUAUUUUUUUUAUUUUUUAUUUUAUUUUAUUAUUAUUAUUUUUUUACUAUUUAAUUUGUAAAAAUGUGUAUACACACACACACACACACACACACACACACACACACACACACACACACACACACACACACACGUAGGAAAAUAUUUAGUAUACACAUCCAGAAAUGCAUACACUAUUAUAUAUUGUACAUAUAUUUAUUAGUUUCAGGUUGGCCAUUCUUGUAUUUUGCUCGUUUGUGUUGUUGUGUUUGCACAUCUCUGUUGCUUGUGGGGCUCGCACACAAGAAUUUCACUCGCAUGUGCUGUGCCAGUGUGCCUGCACAUGUGAUGUGACAAUAAAAGUGAUUUGAUUUGAUUUGAGCUUUGCUGGCGACCGCGUCCAUCCCUUUGUGACCACAGUGUGCCCAUCUUCUGACGGAUGCUUCCAACAGGAGAAUGAUCCAUGUCAUAAAGCUCAAAUAACUUUGAACAGGACAGUGAGGCCUGCACAGACACCAGGUCACAAUCUGUGCUGGAACAGCAACAGUCUAAUCAUUGAUGUGCAGCUGACAAAUUAGCAGCAACUGUGUGAUGCUUCAUGUGCUUCCAUAUGUCAGGACUGAACAAAACCCCACAAGAUAAGCAGAAUACUAUGGGCUCAAAUUGUGGUCAUAAAUACUUUGUACUUGUAAAUCAGGAUUUGUAUGUGUAAUUUGUGUGUGUGUGUAACAAAGAUUUGUGUGUGGACUCAGCCAAAAAAUCUGUGAGAAACUCUGCACUCAAGUUUCAAGUUACAAGUAUGAAUGUUGACCCUAUUUUUCUUCC
ensembl:lncRNA